rnacentral:tRNA from 4 species
GCCCCCGUGGCCCAAUUGGCAGAGGCAACCGACUUAAAAUCGGUGUGUUGUGGGUUCGAGUCCCACCGGGGGUACCA